rnacentral:tRNA from 1 species
GGUCUUAUAUUUUAAGAAAAAUAUUAAAUUGCAAAUUUAAAGAUGUGAACUAAGACUU